CCUCAGUCGAUCAAGAAAUGAACGACGAUGUCAGUACCUUUUUGAUCCGAUAUAUUUCUGUUUUUUUAGGAGCGCACCAAUUUACCACAGAGCGUAAACGAUGAAAGUGCUAGGGAGAUGGCUGGUUUGUACAACCUCACAACUGCAACCCGGUCAUUCUUUCGAUCGGCUUUUUAAAACUUAUUUUGCUCUAAAUCUCUGUUACCCUGGAGGACUUAUCAAUUUCUACAACUUCAUAUAAACCUAUGUGUAUGGCUUGGGUACAAAGUCUCGUGGAGUUGUCAUGUCAUUACACGUAAAUUUAUCGAAUUUAAAGCUGGACAACGCCCGUAAUGCUUCCGCACUUGACGAUGAUAACUAUAUGGACUGAGAGUCCUCAAUGCUAACUUCGUGUGUAAAAUUAAAAUUUGUAAACUUUUAUAAUCUUCAUUGAGUUUAUAAUAAAUGUUCAUUUUUCAAACUACAAA